CCUACGGGAGGCAGCAGUGAGGAAUAUUGGUCAAUGGGCGCGAGCCUGAACCAGCCAAGUAGCGUGAGGGAAGACGGCCCUAUGGAUUGUAAACCUCUUUUAUCGGGGAGUAAAAGUCUCCACGCGUGGCGUUUCGAGAGUACCCGAUGAAUAAGCAUCGGCUAACUCCGUGCCAGCAGCCGCGGUAAUACGGAGGAUCCGAGCGUUAUCCGGAUUUAUUGGGUUUAAAGGGUGCGUAGGCGGAAGAUUAAGUCAGCGGUAAAAUUUUGGGGCUCAACCGCAUCGAGCCGUUGAAAAGGGUGUGCUUGAGUGAGAGCGAAGUAUGCGGAAUGCGGGGUGGAGCGGUGAAAGACAUAGAUAUCACGGAGAACUCCGAUUGGGAAGGCAGGAUAACGGAGCUCUAAUGAAGGUCAAGCACGAAAGUGGGGGUAUCGAACAGGAUUAGAUACCCGAGGAGUC
rnacentral:rRNA from 1 species